GGCUCGGUGGCAGAGGGUCUGCAUCUGUAACACGUUCAAAGCAGAAAUGACGUGUAUUUCAACAGUGUCAGAACUCAAUGCUCGUUCGAAUCGAGCCCGAGCCA